rnacentral:rRNA from 1 species
UACGAAGGGGGCUAGCGUUGUUCGGAAUUACUGGGCGUAAAGCGCGUGUAGGCGGCUAUGUAAGUCGGGCGUGAAAUCCCACGGCUCAACCGUGGAAGUGCACCCGAAACUGCGUAGCUAGAGUCCUGGAGAGGAAGGUGGAAUGCUUGGUGUAGAGGUGAAAUUCGUAGAUAUCAAGCGGAACACCGGUGGCGAAGGCGGCCUUCUGGACAGUGACUGACGCUGAGACGCGAAAGCGUGGGGAGCAAACAGG